CCCUUAGAUGUCCUGGGCCGCACGCGCGCUACAAUGACACGUUCAACAAGUACUUUCCUGGCUUGGAAAAGUUUCGGGUAAUCUUUAUAAUACGUGUCGUGCUGGGGAUUGAUCUUUGGAAUUAUAGAUCUUGAACGAGGAAUUCCUAGUAAGCAUAAGUCAUCAGCUUGUGCUGAUUACGUCCCUGCCCUUUGUACACACCGCCCGUCGCUCCUACCGAUGGGUGAUCCGGUGAAUGAUUCGGACUUCAGCGGCUCCCCUGGGGUGCGCCGGAGAAAGUUUUGUGAACCUUAUCACUUGGAGGAAGGAGAAGUCGUAACA
rnacentral:rRNA from 1 species